rnacentral:rRNA from 1 species
AACGAACGCUGGCGGCAGGCUUAACACAUGCAAGUCGAACGCAUCCUUCGGGGUGAGUGGCAGACGGGUGAGUAACGCGUGGGAACGUGCCCUUCAGUUCGGGAUAACCCAGGGAAACUUGGGCUAAUACCGGAUACGUGCGAGAGCAGAAAGAUUUAUCGCUGAAGGAUCGGCCCGCGUCUGAUUAGCUAGUUGGUGGGGUAAUGGCCCACCAAGGCGACUAUCAGUAGCUGGUCUGAGAGGAUGAUCAGCCACAUUGGGACUGAGACACGGCCCUAACUCCUACGGGAGGCAGCAGUGGGGAAUAUUGGACAAUGGGCGCAAGCCUGCUCCAGCCAUGCCGCGUGGGUGAUGAAGGCCUUAGGGUUGUAAAGCUCUUUCGUCCGGGACGAUAAUGACGGUACCGGAAGAAGAAGCCCCGGCUAACUUCGUGCCAGCCGCCGCGGUAAAAC